rnacentral:lncRNA from 1 species
CUUCCCUCCCAUUCACCCCCUUUCUCCCCUCUCUCUGCCCUAGAAAACUCUCCCCAAACGUCAGUCCCUCUAACAUCUUGCUUCUGCAAACAUUUUGUCAGCUCCAGAGGUUUCAGCUGCGAAGGUGCCUUUGUUUCUGCUCUGCCCAGGCACAUCCCUCCCCUGGGGCUAUGAACUGGAUCUUGGUGACAGCUUUAUUACACCGAGGAUAGGAAAUUUCAGUGGACACGAGCUCUCCCGAGGAAAGGUCUCACAGUUGUCCACUGAAAACCAAGACCCAGCAGGGAGGAUGGUCACCAGUGAAAGAAAGACAGAGGAGAAU